rnacentral:rRNA from 1 species
AUUGAACGCUGGCGGCAGGCUUAACACAUGCAAGUCGAGCGGAGAUGAGGUGCUUGCACCUUAUCUUAGCGGCGGACGGGUGAGUAAUGCUUAGGAAUCUGCCUAUUAGUGGGGGACAACAUUCCGAAAGGAAUGCUAAUACCGCAUACGUCCUACGGGAGAAAGCAGGGGAUCUUCGGACCUUGCGCUAAUAGAUGAGCCUAAGUCGGAUUAGCUAGUUGGUGGGGUAAAGGCCUACCAAGGCGACGAUCUGUAGCGGGUCUGAGAGGAUGAUCCGCCACACUGGGACUGAGACACGGCCCAGACUCCUACGGGAGGCAGCAGUGGGGAAUUUUGGACAAUGGGGGGAACCCUGAUCCAGCCAUGCCGCGUGUGUGAGGAAGGCCUUAUGGUUGUAAAGCACUUUAAGCGAGGAGGAGGCUGCUGAGACUAAUACUCUUGGAUAGUGGACGUUACUCGCAGAAUAAGCACCGGCUAACUCUGUGCCAGCCGCCGCCGUAACAC